CUUAAAAGGAACCUUCCCAGCCAUCAAUUCAGCCCUUGCUAUUGCUGGCAGCCACAUAAUAAAACCUAUUCAUAAAGCUCAAUUUUAAACCACGUGGGCUUCUUGCCUCCACUGCUCCUGCUGGAACCUGUUCCAGGACAUCGCUUUCUCCAAGUUUCAAGACCUGCUAAUUUCCGGACUCUGUUUAUUGAUGGCCAUUUUGUAACCAUUUGGUCCUGGUCCAGCCUGGUCCCUUGGCUCUCCUCCACAUGUGGCACAAUGCCGUGCUGCCCUGCCUGGGGACACUGUUGUGUCCAUUCCCUUCUGUCGGGCAGACCAUGAUGAGAUCUGGGACCCACUGUGGUCCCUUGCAGAUAUAGGACAAGAAGUGGCUAUUCCAAAGAGGAAUUUGGAACAGCUGCCUUGGCUUCCUGCUCUGGGCAGCCUGCUAAAGAGAUCCUAGAGGGAAAAAUGCAUGAGGAAAACUGAGGUCCCUUGGUUUGCUCAGCCCAGAGAAGCAGAGAUUGAAGGGAGGCCUCAUGGUGGCCUACAGAGCUCAUGACCAACAGCUCCUCAUGGUCUGCAGCUCCUUCAUGGAGGUCUACAGCUCCUCAUGUCCCACAGCUCCUCAUGGCCCACAGUUCCCUCAUGGCAGUCUACAGCUCCUUCAUGGAAUUCUGCAGCUCCUACAUGGUGGUCUACAGCUCCUCAUAUCCUACAGCUCCUCAUGGCCUACAGCUCCUCGUGGCCUACAGCUCUUCAUAUCCUAUGGCUCCUCAUUGCCCACAGCUCCCUCAUGGCAGCCUACAGUGCCCUCAUGGCAGCCUGCAUCUUCCUCACAGGAGAGCAGAGGGGCAGGAGCUGACAUCUGCUCUCUGGGGACAGUUUUUGAGGGUCCCCUUCCCAAGUCAUCCCAGAAAACCCCAUACAUCCUGAGUUCCCUGCUCAUACAUCUCGAGAAAGAGGCAGAGAACCCCUCCAUGUGUUGGAUUAGACACAUAAAACCAAGAAUUAUCCUUCACAUCACGAAGGGGAAGCAUUUCUCCAAGAGGUAAGCUCCGGGUUAUACUGGUACUGCAACACUGCACAUUCUCUUGCCCUCAAAGGAGAGAAGAGAUCCUGAGAUAACGAACAGAGUCAGCUGUCAUCCUGGGAAAGCAGAGAAGACAAGAACUUGUAGGUUUUACCUGGGUAUGUCUUCCCAGCCAGGUUCUACACAGUGUGGAAGUGUACAGCCGGAGAGAACAGUAUUCAUCUCCUUCAGCAACAUCAGAGCAAAAUCUACAUUCCCUGCUCUCCCGUAGGGUUUUACAGUGAGAUAUGUGCCUGGCAGUGUGGCAGCUCUCUGCCUCUCUGACAUCUCGCACCGCUCCUUCCCCACUGCAAGGGUCUGAGCAGUGGUUGUCAAGAUCUGCAAGAGCUGGUAAUAAUUGAAGUGGAGACAAAGACCCGCAGGAAACCAUGGCAGCUUCAACAGCAACACCUAUGUAAACAGAAUGGAAUUAAAGUUACUUAAGAAAAUCUUGUAUUUGAUUAUUUUAAAGGAUAUUUUUCACCCCUGGAUUGUUUUAAUUGUGUGUGUUUUCUGAUGUUUCACCAUUUAAUGACAUGACUUCAGUGACAGUACAUAGCACGACAUGCCACUCCAUGUUAAUGGUGACAGAAUGAAAUAUGACACAUCAGCUCCUACUCCUGCCAUGCCAUAAUGUGACAGAGUGUGCCAUACUGAAAAUGCAGCAGUCAAUACAGAUUGUGCUAUUAUUUUGACCAUUUCCCACUUUAUUUUUUAAACAAUUAAGGCAGCUUCUACUUGCUACUAAUUGAGAGAAAUUUUUCUAAGGUGCCGUCUGUUUGUGCUGUAAUGAAAAUAUGACACUUCAAACAAGAAAAGAAGACAAGUGCUUAGCACGCUAAUUAGAGCAGAAACUAUUUUCUACAUCCUAGGAAGGUGACUUGGGCUUAACGCUGAGCAAUGCUACAACCAGCUCCUGCCAUACAGCGUGGCAUUCUCACCUCCAGUUGAGUAUCUCCAAAGCCAUUUGCAAAC
ensembl:lncRNA